ACCUACUGUAUAUCCCAGACGAUUUCGAAGAAAACAUAACCGAGCAAAAAGGAUUAAAGUUAAUUAUUUUUGAUAGUAAAAAAUACAUAGAUAUAACAAGAAUAUGUAUGAGUAAGGUGAAUGAUAAUUUUUUUGUAUUUGGUCACAUAAGUUAUGAAAAUGAUAUUAUAUAUGAAUCAUUUAACAUGUUUAUUAGUUUAAAUAAAUAUUUGCGCGAUGAGAUAGUAGCGUAUGCUCAUUUUUUAUCAGGAUCAGAUUACGAAACAAGGGUCGAUAUAAUUCAGGAUAAUAUUUUUAUAAAUAAUUUAAAAAAAUUUAUGAACGUUAAUAAUAUUAUUAUCACUUCUUUUGGUUACAAAGAAAUUAAACAAUCAGAUUUAGAGGCUAAAAGAAAGCGUAAGCAAAAACGAAGAAACAAAAAAGAAGACAGUAAUAUAAAUAAAUAUGAACAUUCAGAUGAAUCUGAAACAGGUACAUCAAAUGAGUAUAGUGAUAAUGAAUUUAUUUUAUCAUCACAUAAUAGUGAAAACGAAGAUUCAUCAAAUAAGACAUCAACUAGUACCGAAUCAGAUGAUGAAACUGAUAGUAAAAAUUAUGAUAUAUUUAGAAGAAAUACAAAUAAUAAUAAAAUUAUACGAAUAUUAGUAUUUUUUGUAUUAACAAAAAAUCAUUUAUAUAUUUUUAAAAUAAAUUAUAUGUAUUGGAUAUUCUUAAAUCCAUUUAUCGAUGAAGAAAAAAACCAUAUAAAAUUAUUCAUUGAAUCGGGUCCAUAUAGUAGCGAUGAAGGAGUGAUGGGAAGGGAUGAUAUGUCAAAUAAAAAUGUAUUCACAAACUAUAAAAUAUAUUUAAAUAACUUUUUAGGUAUAACUAAUAAUGUUGUGGAUGAUCAAAAUGUGUUAUUCGCUAGAAAAAAUGCCCUUCAAAAUACUAUCAGGUAUAUGUAUUCGGGUAGUAACACAGAAUAUACAAAUGAUAAUUUGGUUUUAUCAACAAAUGUGACAACGGUGGGAAGCUCCAAGAGGGAAGAACGUGAGGAAUAUGGAGGACGUGUCGAAUGUGAUGGACGUAUUGAUGCUCAUUCAGCCAAACCCCAAUGCGACUACGAACUGAACGCACUUUUAAAAGACCAAAAGAUACAAACAGUUAAACAAGUAAAUGCAAAAAAAAAGUACAUAUAUGCAAAUAAUUAUUUUUUAAAAAUUAUACAUAAAUAUAAUAAUGAAUUUUUAAGUAGGAUUAAAUUUGUUAACAAAAAUGAAAGUAUAAUAACACUAAAAUAUAAAAUUAAGCACAGUAGGCAAAAUGAAAAAAAAGUUAAAAUGGUCAUGUUUGAUGAUUAUACAAGAGAGCUUUGGAAGCGAUCACUAGCUCUGUCGUUAAACAUUCAAAUGACAUCCUCGGAAUGGAGAAGGAAGUGGAAAUAGAUAAUUCGUUGGUGAGCAAAUUGGUUGAUAAUAGUAAUAUUAAAAUUAUAGUAACUUUCUUUGUACUUUCACUCACUAUUUUAGACAGGUUAUUUUUUAUAAAAGCUGGUUGUUGUCUUCAUCUUUCUUUUUUUUGUUUCCUUUUUUUGUUUCCUUUUUUUGUUUCCCUUUUUUGUUUCCUUUUUUUUUUUUUUUUUUUUGCUUGUUUUGUUUGAUUUUUCAUUUUCAAAAUUUGUAGAAAAGAUAAAAUAAACUUAAAAAAAAAAAAAAAUUUAACA
ensembl:lncRNA